UGUGGUGAACGGUGCUGCCGAGACAUGGUGGCUGUGGUGAACAAUGCUGCUGCAGACAUGGUGGCUGUGGUGAACGGUGCCGAGACAUGGUGGCUGUGGUGAACGGUGCUGCCGAGACAUGGUGGCUGUGGUGGACGGUGCUGCUGAGACAUGGUGGCCGUGGUGGAUGGUGCUGAGACAUGGUGGCUGUGGUGAACGGUGCUGCCGAGACAUGGUGGCUGUGGUGGACGGUGCUGCUGAGACAUGGUGGCUGUGGUGAACGGUGCCGAGACAUGGUGGCUGUGGUGGACGGUGCCGAGACAUGGUGGCUGUGGUGAAUGGUGCCGAGACAUGGUGGCUGUGGUGGACGGUGCUGCCGAGACAUGGUGGCUGUGGUGGACGGUGCUGCUGAGACAUGGUGGCUGUGGUGAACGGUGUCGAGACAUGGUGGCUGUGGUGGACGGUGCUGCUGAGACAUGGUGGCUGUGGUGAACGGUGCCGAGACAUGGUGGCUGUGGUGAACAGUGCCAAGACAUGGUGGCUGUGGUGGACGGUGCUGCUGAGACAUGGUGGCUGUGGUGAACGGUGCCGAGACAUGGUGGCUGUGGUGGACGGUGCUGCUGAGACAUGGUGGCUGUGGUGAAUGGUGCUGCUAAUGUGUCUAGAAUUGGUGGAUUCUUGGUCUCACUGACUUCAAGAAUGAAGCCGCAGACCCUCGCAGUGAGUGUUACAGUUCUUAAAGAUGGUGUGUCCGGAGUUUGUUCCUUCUGAUGUUCAGAUGUGU
rnacentral:lncRNA from 1 species